UGUUGCCAACGGCUCUGAUUCACAACAGUCUGCUACCUCGCCGAUAAAAUCCUACUAUAACAUUAUAUCUUUAUAAUUUAUACUAUUAUUUAGGUCUGAAUGAUUCUUAGUGUUGUCAGAUAGUUUAGUUGGUGAGACUAACGGAUUCGGUGGUGUGAUGUUUUGACUGUGAACCGGAGAAAUCUGCAGGGAUUCGAGUUGUCAGGAAGAGAGACGCUAAAUGGUUAGCCUGUCAGCUGACGAGCUAUCUAACGUUAACUACUAUAAAUCAACAUCAAAGUUGUAUUUUUUAUUAUUAUUAUUAGUGCUAGCUAACUCGCUAGUGAUGCAGCUAACCAGGGCAUGGAUGGUUAGCUAUAGCGUUCAGAUUCGGCUACUGGAGACGACGUGUGGACAGACACGGAAGCAGCACGUUACCCAUCUGUAAAGGGUAUGUGCUACAUCUUGUGGAUAAAGCCACACGUUUCACUCUACAUAUGAAUCCUAACAGUCUCUAGGUGUCCGCUGUGUAAACAGCCCUUCUCCUCCAGCCUUACUCUCAAACCUCCUGUACCUGGAGAAAACAGGACCGCAGCUGCCAUGGUGACCACCAGAGCAGGUGGUAACCAUGGAGAGUGAAAGAGGAGGAGGGGGAUGGAGAGGAGACGGUCAGGACGAAGGUGGAAAGGGUGGGAACUCCUCUUCUACCCCGGCCAAUAGGAUGGAGGGAUCGAGGGACAGAUGAGAGUGGGAGCUGGCAGUGUUUCACGGCUCAUUGGUCAACAUCGUCCAACGUUUCAUCACCUCGCCAAUCGCACGCUGUGAUAGGGAGGGAGGGGGCGGGGUCAUCCAGAAUGAACUCCACCCCUUUCCAGCUGGCACGGAUGGACCACUUCUUCCACGAGCUGUUCAACCCGUUCUCCUCUCUCCAAGGAAGCCUUUGACCACCUGGCCAUCUACGACCCUCCGGCGCCGACCUACGAGGACGGUAUGACAUCAUCAACCAGUGACACUGACCUCUCUGUCACCUCCAUCUACGACCCUCCGGCGCCGACCUACGAGGACGGUAUGACAUCAUCAACCAGUGACACUGACCUCUCUGUCACCUCCAUCUACGACCCUCCGGCGCCGACCUACGAGGACGGUAUGACAUCAUCAACCAGUGACACUGACCUCUCUGCCACCUGGCCAUCUACGACCCUCCAGCGCCGACCUACGAGGACGGUAUGACAUCAUCAACCAGUGACACUGACCUCUCUGUCACCUCCAUCUACGACCCUCCGGCGCCGACCUACGAGGACGGUAUGACAUCAUCAACCAGUGACACUGACCUCUCUGUCACCUCCAUCUACGACCCUCCGGCGCCGACCUAUGAGGACGGUAUGACAUCAUCAACCAGUGACACUGACCUCUCUGUCACCUGACCAUCUACGACCCUCCAGCGCCGACCUACGAGGAUGGUAUGACAUCAUCAAUCAGUGACACUGACCUCUCUGCCACCUGGCCAUCUACGACCCUCCAGCGCCGACCUACGAGGACGGUAUGACAUCAUCAACCAGUGACACUGACCUCUCUGUCACCUCCAUCCACGACCCUCCGGCGCCGACCUACGAGGACGGUAUGACAUCAUCAACCAGUGACACUGACCUCUCUGUCACCUCCAUCUCAGAGGAAGAGAUAUUGUUUUGUUACUACUUUUGGGAUGAGCUUCCAGUUGGCUCAUCUAUCCCCCCUCCUCCUCUCCCCUGGAACUAUUCCCCGGGUCGUUGGGGUCGUUGAGGUAAAAGAGAAUGUGUUCUCAGUCAUCUGACCUGGUCAAAUAAAUCAAUAAAAUAAUAUAUUUUUUAUACUGCAUCCUAUAUGGCAGCCUAUUCCCUAUUAAGUGCUCUACUGCCUGGGUGGUCCGCUGUGUGGUCCGCUGUAGGGAAUAGGCUGCCAUUUGGGACUAUGCCUUAUAGUUGCUGCACUGUUUGAGAGGAGAGCUGGCAGGGAAGUGUUACAUUAUACUGUGUACACUAUGCUGUUCUGUUCAUAUGACCAUCUAUCUCUCUAUAUCUAUAUCUAGGAAGUGUUACAUUAUACUGUGUACGCUAUGCUGUUCUGUUCAUAUGACCAUCUAUCUCUAUAUAUCUAUAUCUAGGAAGUGUUACAUUAUACUGUGUACGCUAUGCUGUUCUGUUCAUAUGACCAUCUAUCUCUAUAUAUCUAUAUCUAGGAAGUGUUACAUUAUACUGUGUACGCUAUGCUGUUCUGUUCAUAUCACCAUCUAUCUCUCUAUAUCUAUAUCUAGGAAGUGUUACAUUAUACUGUGUACGCUAUGCUGUUCUGUUCAUAUGACCAUCUAUCUCUAUAUAUCUAUAUCUAGGAAGUGUUACAUUAUACUGUGUACACUAUGCUGUUCUGUUCAUAUGACCAUCUCUCUAUCUAUCUAUCUAGGAAGAGGAGGGUGGGUCGGAGAGACGGAGAGAGACGGCAGCAGGAAGUAGCGCAUUGUCGGUAACAGGAAGUAGGAGUGGAAGAGAGGAGCCGGGAGGGGAGGAAGAGAGGAGCCGGGAGGGGAGGAAGAGAGGAGCCGGGAGGGGAGGAAGAGAGGAGCCGGGAGGGGAGGAAGAGAGGAGCCGGGAGGGGAGGAAAAGAGGAGUGAGGGAGGACAUGGCUAAGACCAUAGUACUCCACAUACACUGGGGGUAGAGGAUAAUCAAUAGUGUUGCUGUGGACACUGGGGAAUCUGACGAACACACCUGUUUGACCUGGCUGUGAUACUGGUAAUCUGACGAACACACCUGUUUGACCUGGCUGUGAUACUGGUAAUCUGACGAACACACCUGUUUGACCUGGCUGUGAUACUGGUAAUCUGACGAACACACCUGUUUGACCUGGCUGUGAUACCGGUAAUCUGACGAACACACCUGUUUGACCUGGCUGUGAUACUGGUAAUCUGACGAACACACCUGUUUGACCUGGCUGUGAUACUGGUAAUCUGACGAACACACCUGUUUGACCUGGCUGUGAUACUGGUAAUCUGACGAACACACCUGUUUGACCUGGCUGUGAUACCGGUAAUCUGACGAACACACCUGUUUGACCUGGCUGUGAUACUGGUAAUCUGACGAACACACCUGUUUGACCUGGCUGUGAUACUGGUAAUCUGACGAACACACCUGUUUGACCUGGCUGUGAUACUGGUAAUCUGACGAACACACCUGUUUGACCUGGCUGUGAUACCGGUAAUCUGACGAACACACCUGUUUGACCUGGCUGUGAUACCGGUAAUCUGACGAACACACCUGUUUGACCUGGCUGUGAUACCGGUAAUCUGACGAACACACCUGUUUGACCUGGCUGUGAUACCGGUAAUCUGACGAACACACCUGUUUGACCUGGCUGUGAUACCGGUAAUCUGA